GACGGAGGGUGCAAGCGUUGUUCGGAAUUACUGGGCGUAAAGGGCGCGUAGGCGGUCUGUUAAGUUCGGUGUGAAAGCCCCCGGCUCACCUGGGGAACUGCGCCGGAAACCGACAGACUCGAGUACCGGAGAGGAUAGUGGAAUUCCCAGUGUAGUGGUGAAAUACGUAGAGAUUGGGAAGAACACCAGUGGCGAAGGCGGCUAUCUGGACGGUUUCUGACACUAAGACUCGAAAGCGUGGGGAGCAAACAGG
rnacentral:rRNA from 1 species